CCAGGCCACGACCCAGACCAACACACGGGACAGUCAGUAAGACACCCGGAGUCAACAGGAGGACGCUACUCACUGGUCGAGUUUCUUCACCGUUGACGACUUGGAUCAGUGCCCUAACGAGGCUCCUUUAAUACACGGGUAACAAGCGGAGGAUGAACAAGGAAACUGCCAGUAGUUGACCUGUCCCGAGAUCGAGGUCAAAGAGAAGGUCAAGGAAGGUCAAAUAAGGUCAAAUAUCAGAUGAGCGCCAGUCCUAAUAGGCCCCAAUCUCUCAUCGUGACCCCCACCACAAGUCAACUGAUAUUUGGAUGAAAGAUCAUAAAGGCUUGUAAACAAUAAACCCAAAU